rnacentral:rRNA from 1 species
GAUGAACGCUGGUGGCGUGCCCAAUACAUGCAAGUCGAGCGAACGGACGAGAAGCUUGCUUCUCUGAUGUUAGCGGCGGACGGGUGAGUAACACGUGGAUAACCUACCUAUAAGACUGGGAUAACUUCGGGAAACCGGAGCUAAUACCGGAUAAUAUUUUGAACCGCAUGGUUCAAAAGUGAAAGACGGUCUUGCUGUCACUUAUAGAUGGAUCCGCGCUGCAUUAGCUAGUUGGUAAGGUAACGGCUUACCAAGGCAACGAUGCAUAGCCGACCUGAGAGGGUGAUCGGCCACACUAGAACUGAGACACGGUCCAGACUCCUACGGGAGGCAGCAGUAGGGAAUCUUCCGCAAUGGGCGAAAGCCUGACGGAGCAACGCCGCGUGAGUGAUGAAGGUCUUCGGAUCGUAAAACUCUGUUAUUAGGGAAGAACAUAUGUGUAAGUAACUGUGCACAUCUUGACGGUACCUAAUCAGAAAGCCACGGCUAACUACGUG